GGAAGCAGGAAGUAGCGCAAACAACAUGGGGACUGGGAUUGACAAGAAGCCGGCGAUUUCUUUACCUAAACACUCCUACUGGUUCGACUUUUGGGUGUUUCUGUUGUUCGACAUCGGCUUUUUUCUCUUCGUGUACUUUGUUAUUCCAUAAACGAAAUCUGGGUGUUACGGAAGGACCAGAGAGUGUAGCUUCACCUGCAUGAGAUGAAGAGAUGAUGGGUACUUUUGCAGCUUUCUCAUGGCUGGGUCCUGCAGCUGUGGCUUCAGCCGAUCUCCUCCUGCACACCCGUCACCCGAACACUGAAAGUGCACCACCACCACGUCCCCGCCGAGUCCGACCCUCGUCGAGUCCAACCCUCACAGAGUCCAACGCACUUUAAAACAUAGAGCUAACAUUCCAGUCCAGGCCCUGAUCCCUCGUACAGAACCCCGAUUAACAUGAAAUAAAACCGGCCAAGCGAUUUUUGUAUAUUUGACCUGGUAAUAAUCAGAAUGUCUGCGUGUGUGUGAAUGAGAAGUAAAUAAAAUUCACUAAGCUAUUUUUCAACUUUGUGUGGAAAGUAUGUUCUUUCAUCUUUUUAUAUUCUUGAGGUAUUCACAUUGAAGGAUAGAUUGUGUGGCAGACAGAUAAAAGACACUAAAUAUAUUUCAGAUAUAUUUGUAUCUAUAGUCCUUAUUGGCCUUGCUCCGUAGGAUGUGUUACUGUACAUUCUCUCUCACACACACACACACACACACACGCUGUACUGUGAAGUCGCCAGUAGGCGUUCCUACUAUUGGUUGCCGUAGUAACAUUGAUCAGUGGGCACGAUGGCUUAGCGGUUAGCACGUUCGCCGCACACUGAUAUCCGCACCCGCCGCUGUCCUGUGUGUGUGUGUGUGUGUGUGUGUGUGUGCGCGCGCGCGCGGGGUUUGUAUGUUCUCCCCAUGCCGUGGGGGUUUCCUCCGGGUACUCCGGUUUCCUCCCCCAGUCUAAAGACAUGCAGGGUAGGCUGAUUGGCAUGUCCAAAGUAUCCGUAGUGUAUGAAUGUGUAUGCGAGUGUGCACUGCGAUGGAUUUGCGCGCUGUCCAGGAUGUAACCUGCCUUGUGCCCUAUGCCUCCUGGGAUAGGCUCCAGGUUCCCCACGAGCCUGUAGGAUAAGCAGUAUAGAAAAUAGAUGGAUGGAAUAAUAAUAAUAAUAAUAAUGAACUCAGUACAUGUUUUAUAGCAAGAAAAAUUUGGCAGUUUUAUGAUUCCACACACACACAAAAGACAGACAUAUAUAUUGCCUUCAAUUACAUCCUACCCUUUACCCUUUCAACCGGAGAUAUCCGCUGCACAGCUAAAAGUGAUCUAAAGUGCCUGUUGUUGUGACCUAUCGUCUCGUCUGGAGUUGAUUUCCUCUUACUGGCCACGAGGAGUUUGAACCUGAACGACUGCCAGACAUUCGGAGGAGACAAAUGGGUCAGAGAGAUCAGAACAUGGAAGUAUAGUGCGACGCUCUGUUCCAUCGUGAUCUGUGCCAGCAAAAGGGGGGGGCGGGCGGGGCUCUCUUACACUGUGAGCGUUUUGGCUUUUUCUUCAGUGCUCAGAGGUUCAGCAGGUCUGGGUUUCUGAAGUACAUGAUCAAUGGCUUUUCCUCAGGCUGCCUGUGGGCGACGUGGAGAAAGAGAUGCGGGAAAGUUUUGUGUUUGCUUGUAUAAAGCGUGCGCUGAUGCCCAGUGGACACACAGGAGGUGCUUUUUUUGACCCUUCUGCCAACUAGUUCCGCACGAGUUCCUCACACCAAUGCCAAGUGAGCAGCACAUGAAGAGUGGCCAUCAUUGCAUGUUUAUUCAUGGUUCGGUCCGACACUCUGCUCAGACCCCAGGGUCCUGCACACCACUGGCUCUGAGGCAGUCCAGGGAUUUAAAGUUCCAGCUUUCUGGUCACUACUGCAGAAUGGUGACCUCUGAGCUAGCGCUGGGAUAAGAGUUCUCUCAUUGUGAAGUUUCCUGCUCGAACACACAUCGUUUCCAAUGUUUUUCCUUUUCUUUAGUUUCUGUUUUGUUUUUUCUUUUCAUUUUACCGAUUUUUCCUUCAUUUUCUUCUGGGGUUUUUUUUUUUUUUUUUUUUUUAGUAGUUCAUGUUCUUUUUGCUUUUUCCUCCCCUUUGGUUCCUGUCUUUUCUCUUUUUCUUUUUUCUUGGUCCUGAUUUUUAAAUUUUUUCCUGUCUUUUCUUAUUUCUUAAAUUUUUUCUUUCCAAUUUUUCCAUUUUUCUUUCUUGGCUGUUAUUUUCCUGCCUUUCUUGACUUCCUACCCUUUUAUUCUUGUUGUUUUCUUUCCCUUUUCAUUCUUUCAAUUGUUUCAUUCUUUUUUUCUUUCUUUUCUGGGUUUUGUUGUUUUUUUUUCUUUCAUUUUACUCAUUUUCCAUUCAUUUUUUCUGGGUUUAUUUUUUGGGUAAUUUCUGUUGUUCCUUUUCUUUUUCUUUUGUUCUUAUUUUCCAUGUUUAUUUAUUUACUGUUUUUCCCUUUUCUUUUCUUUUUUUGGUCCUGUUUUUUCCCUUCCUUGAUCUUUUGUCAUUCCUUUCCCCCUUUUCAGUUUUUCCCUUGCUCUGUUUUUUUUUCUGUCCUGUUCUGAUUUGUUCUUUUUUCCUGUCAUUACUGGGUUUUCUUCCCUUUUCUAUUUUUUCUGGAUUUAUUUUAUUUUUUUGUUUUUCCUUCUGUUUUUUUAUCGGUUUAUUUGCUGUUUCAAGUCCUUCUUUGCGUUUUUUGUUUUUCUUUCCUGUCUUUUCUUUUUCCUCUUUUUGUUUUUAUCUUUUGUCUGUUCCUUUUCUUUCUCUCUUGUCUUUGUUCUCGUCCAUCUGCCCCUCCCUCCCUCCCAUUUUAUACACUGAUCUUCUUCUCUCUCUUAUUCCUCAACCAACAUUUCUUUCAUUCCUUCUUCCUACAGAAUGGUCAUACCUUCAUAACUCCAUGCAGUGACCAUGCCCCGUUCUGUAGACUGGAAGUGUCACUUUUCACUGGUUCUGGCCUCACUGAGUGUCUUCUCAGGAAGAUGUUCACAGAUCAGGACUGUCCAUCACACCAACUAUCUUAUUAUUGUACACUAUAUUCCAUGAGAUUUAGGUGAAAGGAGCAGAAAUGAAGAAUAAUCCUGUACUAAUGGCAGCACCAGGAACACUUUAUUUAUUCAUUUGACUCAUGUUUCUAUUCAGAGCAGUGACGCAGAACCCCACAAACCUGACAUUAAAAGCCUUCCUUACUCAAGAGCCCAGCUGAGGUUCAUGUGGCAGCCAUGUGACCUGAGCUCACAACCUUCCGGUCCUUUCCCUGAGCUACCACUGCCCUAAUGAGAUCCGACACGUUUCACCUCCCGAGUGAGAGAAAUCCCAGACUCUCGGCUCAAACUGUAAUUACGUCAACCGGGCCUGAGUCAUCGUCACCUGCGAGGAUCAGUGGGACUCAUAAGGCUCGGGAGUUUACAGCACGUUCCACUAGAACCAUUAAAACCAGCGCAGGUCAUUUUAAUAGCUGGACGUCUGUUAGGAUUCCGAGAUUAAAGGAGUUGGAGAGCAUGUUUUUGCGUUCGCUCCUGCCAUGAGAAGCGGUCGUUACGGAGCGCUCGAGCCAGGCAAUGAGCUGUGCACCGCUGUGUUUUCUUUCCACCCGGCGCGUGUGCGAGAUCUUUUCCAAAACACACUCGCAUUUGGCUCAAGAAAAGAAAAAAAAGUGAAGGCUGAGUGAAACUGGUGGUUUUGGUGUGUUCAGGAAAAAAGCUCUGUCUUUUACAGGACCUCUAUGACCUCACUGUGUCUUUAUACACUACUGUCAGUCCACACACACACACACAAUAAAGAACAUUUAAAAAAAAAAAAAGAAUUAAAAAAAGAAUCAAAUACAUGUCAUUUUUCUUAAAUUUCUAUUUUCCCCACAUACUUUCCUUACUUUCUUUCCUGUUUUUGCACUGUUUUCUUUAUUUCCUGUUGUUCCUUUUUUUUUAUUUAAUUCCUUCUUUACUACAAUUUCUUUUUCCCCAUUUUAUCUUUCAUGUUUUCCUUUUUUCCCCCUGUAUUUCCUGAUUUUCUUUCCUUUUUCUAUUUUCCCUCUUUUCUUUCUUUCCUGUCUUUCAUUCUUUUUAUCUGUCCUGCUUUAUUCCUUUCAUUCUUUUAACGUACUGUUUUAUUCCUUUUGCUUUAUUUCCAGAUUUGUCCCUUUUUUUCUUCCUGUUUUUUUCUUUCCUUUUUCCUUAAUUUUUCCAUCCUUCCCUCCCUCCCUCCC